AAUUUUAGUUUCAGUUUCUCCCUCUUCUUUCUUUCCUCAAAUCUUCAAAUUAUCCGGAGAGACAAGAGGGGAGAGAGCUCGAGGAAUCGUGGUUUAUCAUCUAAUUGGUAUUUUAUGGAGAUAGAUUCGAAAUUAUAAGAAUAUUUUAGGGUUAACAAUAAUAACGGAGUAACAUCUUCUAAUAUAAUAAUUAUGAAGAUGAAGAUGAAGAUGUCUGUAGGAUUUGUAGAAAUCCAGGUGAUUCUGAAAAUCUGCCAUGUGCUUGUAGUGGAAGUAUUAAAUUUGUUCAUCAAGAUUGUCUUCUUCAGCGGCUUAAUCACAACAAUGCUCGUCAGUGUGAGAUUUAGGGGCGGCGAGUGCACUUGGAAGCCCUUCAUUUAGACGACCAAGCGGACAAUUUUGACGUUGCACGUUAAUUUCUCCAUGAGUCUGGUCCAAUUUUCUAGUAAUUGAAGUUGACAGAUUACGUAUGGAGGUAAAACAGGGAAAUGAGCUAUCCUGGACACCAGUAUUGAGGAACCAAGAUUUCUUGGGAAUAUUUUCUGUCGCAAAGUUCACGUGAAUAAGGAAAGCAAUGCAUAUUGUGUUUUCCAUUGUGACG